UUUAAUGUUUAUUUAUUUUUGAGACAGAGAGAGACAGAGCAUGAACGGGGGAGGGUCAGAGAGAGAGGGAGACACAGAAUCUGAAGCAGGCUCCAGGUUCUGAGCUGUCAGCACAGAGCCCGACGUGGGGCUCGAACUCACAGACCGUGAGAUCAUGACCUGAGCCGAAGUUGGACGCUUAACCGACUGAGCCACCCAGGCACCCCUAUCCACUUGAUUUUUAAGUCUACCCAUUUUAGUAUCUCCUUGAAAAAUCCUUACCUUAUCUCUAACUGUACUCUCUCCUCUUUUUUCUUUGUUGUUUGUUUUUAAAUUUUAUUUAUUUAAAUUCAAGUUAAUUAACAUACAAUAUAGUAUUGGUUUCAGGAGUAGAACCCAGUGAUUCAUCACUUACGUGAUACCCAGUGCUCAUCCCAACAAGUGCCCUCCUUAAUGCCCGUCACCCAUUUAGCCCAUCCCUCCACCCACCUCCCUUCUAGCAACCCUCAGUUUAUUCUCUGUACUUAAGAGUCCCUAUGGUUUGCCUCUGUCUCUGUUUUUAUUUUAUUUUUCCUUCCCUUCCCCUGUGUUCAUCUGUUGUGUUUCUUAAAUUCCACUUAUGAGUGAGAUCAUAUAUUUAUCUUUUGCUGACAUUUGGUUUAGCCUAAUACAGUCUAGUUCCAUCCACAUUAUUGCAAAUGGCAGGAGUUCAUUCUUUUUGAUCGCCGAGUAGUAUUCCAUUGUGUGUGUGUGUGUGUGUGUGUGUGUGUGUGUGUAUACACACACCCCACAUCUUCUUUAUCCAUUCAUCAGUUGAUGGACAUUUGGGCUCUUUCCAUACUUUGGCUAUUGUUGAAAAUGCUGCUAUAAAUAGUGGGGUGCAUGUGCCCUUUUGAAUCAGCACUUUCACAGGCCAGAUCUAGAAGGUGUUAAAAUCUUCCAGGAAUAAACAAUAGGGCAAUUCUAUCCCCUUUCAUCAUUUCAAAAACUUUGGAGACCUGGUAUCAGAGAGUGAGGCCUAGAUGCCAUGAUUACCACAGCCUCAUUCUCCUGACCAGCCCAGCAGUCACAGUAGUACAUUUGCACUUUGGUCCUCAUGACUACCUGUGUACCCCUGUCAGUCGCAGUUGGCAGAGGGGGCCCCACAGAUGAAUCCAUCAUCUCCACAGGUGAUAAGUGUAAGUGAUUUUCUUCAGGAACCCACUAAACUGACAACCUGGUUGGAAUGGUGUGAAGGGAAGGGAGGCCGGCUACUGCAUGUGCUAUAUCACACCUGAGUUCCUGGGGACCCCUGAGCCUACCCAUUAUUACCACAUCAGACCCCAGCCUGGGUGUUAGCAGACUGUAAAUGCAGAAAGGUGGGUUCUUAAUGCCAAUGCUCCAUAGGUCUUCUAGACAAAGUGUUGCUCUUUAUAAUCCCCAAACAAAUGACUUGGGUCAAGAGGUCCUUAGUUCACUUGCUUUGGGCAUUAGAAUUUAGUGGUUUUAAGGAUGUUUAUUUAAUGUGAAUGAUUAAUUAAUACCUUUUGGUAGACGUUUGCUUUUAUCUCUUUUGGGUAAAUCCAUGAGAGUUGAAUUGCUAGAUAGGUGCAUAUUUAGUUUUAGAAGAAACCUCCAGACUUUUUGCAGCCAUUUUAUCAUGUAUACUCACAGUGAUGCUGUAUGAGAGUUCUAGUAGCUCCAGACCCUUGCCAACAUUUGUCAUUGUCAGUCUUUUUAGUGUUGGCCACUUUGCUGAGUUUAUGGUAUUAUCCUGUGGUUUUAUCUUAUUUAUUUCUUAUUUAUUUAUUUAUUUAUUGAGAGUGAGUGAGCAUGAGUGGGGGAGAGAGGCAGAGGGAGAGAGAGAGGGGGCUCAAACCCACAACCCUGGAAUCAUGACCUAGGCCAAAAUCAAGAGUCAGAUGCUCAACCAACUGAGCCACCCAGGUGCCCCUAUCUUCUGGUUUCAAUGUGCAUUUCCUUGGUGGCUAAAAUGGAGCACUUUUUCUUGUGUGUGUUGACUUUCUGUAUAUAUUCUUUUGUGAAAUAUCUGGUCAAAACAUUUUUCCAUUGUUAUUUGGCUGUUUGUGUUUACUACUGAGUUGUAAGAGUUCUUUAUACAUUCUAGAAACAAACUGUCAGAUAAAUGUUUUAUAAAUAUUGUCUCCUAGUCUGUGGUUUGUCUCUUCAGUUUCUAACAAGUGUCUUUUGAUGACAGAAUUUUAAAAUUUUGAGUGAAAUAUAUAUAUUUUUUAUUUUUUCGGUUGUUUUCUGUAUCAAGUCUAAGAAACCUCUGCCAUUUCCAUUGCAAAGGCAUUCUCUAAUGUUUUCUUUUAUAAACUUUAUAUUUUAAACUCUUCAGCUACUUCAUUUUUGUCUAUGGUGGAUAUUAAGGAUGAAGGGUUUUUUUUUUUUUAAAGAAAUGUCCAGUUGAUUGCUUUAUCGUUACAUUUGGAAAUGCUUUCCUUUUCCCAUUGAAUGGCUUUGGUACUUUUGUGAAAAAUCGACCAGGUAAUGUGAACAAAAAUAGUAGAGGAGUGAUCACUGAAAAUAUUCCCCUUCAUAAAUGCAAUGAGAACACUGGCAACAAUGAUCACAGUCCACAUGUUCAGAAUUAUGUAAAUUGACCAAAGGCUUACAACAAUCUGGGGAGUGUUUAUUCAAGAAAAACAGCCAGAUCUCAGUAAGAACAGUGAAUUUUCUGGCAUUUUUACUUGCUCUAUUUCAAUCUCCUCCCCCCCAGCUGUAGGCUUGGUAAAACCUAGCAGCCUGACAGACACUGGAGAGAGCAAAACAAGGCUGUUUAGAGCUGCAUUUUCAGAGAAUUGUCAUUAUUUAACCCCUCUGGUAGUUCUGUGGAAGACCUGACUGAGAACUUGCCAGUGUAGCUUUUUUCCCCCCUGGAGACAUUAAUUGAAAUCAGGCCAAGGCAGUUGUUAGGCAUUGUGACUCUUUGAGUUAGGCGAGAACAGCCCCACGAACAGUGGGCUAACCAAAGUGCUUAAAGUAGCAAAGUUGGGGAAUGACGUUUGCAUAAGGGGCUUUGAAAAGCUCUGAUAUGUUUCUGGGAAUCCAAAAGGCCAUGCUCAUAUUUAGGUGUAUGCAUCUUCCCAGAGUGGUGUACAUGCUCAAGGAAGAUCUGCGGAGGCCCUAAGUGCUCACUUCUGGAUAGGCUUGAGGCAUUGGACAAGCAGGAAGUAGAGACCAAGGUGGAGCUGUGUAAACUGCCUGGCUGAGUAGUUGAGAAAUGCACCAGUAACACACAGACUGAGAGACCUGUUCGUUUCAGGCAUUGAAGGCAAUCUCUGUUCCAUAAUUAGCUACCUGCUAAGCUGAUAGAUCAAAGACUUCAGUGGCUACACAUGACAAUGAAUACAGACUUUACAGAAUUUGCUCAGAAAAGUCUCUAAACAAACCAUAACAAAAAUAAACCCUGGGGAAAGAGGAAGGUCUGAUUUCCAGUUUGCCAAAUUACAUCGUUUAAGAUGUUCAGUUUUCAACAAAAAAUGAGAUACACAAAGAAUGAGGAAAGUAAGGCCAGUCACAGUGUGAGGGGGUUGCACCGGAGAGGAGGCAGUCAGUAGAAACUCCCUGAGGAAGCCCAUAUAUGGGACGCACUAGACAAAGACGUUAAAGCAGAUGUUUUAGAGGCACUUAAAGAAUGAAAAGAAACCAUGUCUAAAUAAGUAAAGUAUGAGAAAAAUGCCUUGACCAAAUAUAAAAUAUCAAAAGAGAUAGCAAUUAUAAAAAAAUUUAAUAGAAAUUCUACAACUGAAAAGUACAAUAAUGGAAAUGAAAAAAUCCCUAGAAGGGCUCAAGACCAGAUAUGAGCAAGUCGAAGAAUCGCUAACUUGAAGAAAAGUGGAGAGUCUCAGACCUUGGGACAUCAUCAGACAUAAUGAUAUGUACAUAAUAGGAGCCCAGAAAGAGAGGAGAAAAAAAGAGGAUAAAGAGUACUUAAUGAAACAAUGGCUAAAAACUUCCCAAAUUUGAUUCAAAGCAUUAAUCUGUACACCAAGGAAACUCAACAAACGCUAAUCCAAAUAGGAUAAACUCAGAGAAUUAUCCUAGAUGGCAUCAUAAUUAAAUUGCCAAAACCCAAAGAGAAAGAAUCUUGAGAAGAGAAGCAAUUCAUUACAAAUUCAAGGGAUCCUAGAUAUAUUAACAGCUUAUUUCUCAUCAAAAACCAUGGAAGCUAGAAGGCAGUGGGUGAAAUAGUCAACGUUCUCCAAUAAAAAGUUAUAAACCAAAAUUCUAUAUCCAGCAGAUCUAUUCUUCAAUAAUAAAGGAGAAAUUAAAUAUUGCCACAUUGAUAAAAACUGAAUUUGUCACUAUUAUACAUCUUCCCCACAAAACUAAAAAAAACCUUUAGUAAAAGAAAUAAUAAGGCAAUUAAUAUUGUAAACCGGAAAAUACCUAUUUAACACAAAAGAGAGCAGUCAAUUAUGAAGAGAGGAAUAAAGAGGACAUAAAAAUAUAGAAAACGAAUAGUAACAGCAAAGAUGAAUUCUGCCUUAUCAAUAAUCACAAUAAAUGUAAAUUAAUUAUACACCCUAAUUAAAAGGCAGAGAAAUGAACACUGGAUUAAAACAAAACAAACAAAAAAA